UCCAUCUGUCGAUCUGUCUCUCCUCUCCUAUCCUCUGCACCAAUUCAUCCAUCCAUCCAUUGAAGACCAAGCACCUUCACCUUCACCCUCACCCUAGUUCUUUCUCUUUCUCCCUUCCAAUAAGCAAUACUCUGAUGCAAUCUCCCCAUCAAUCCUUAUCCAGUGAAGUAGUAAUUAGCUAUCUAUAAAUAUAUGCAAGUACUAUUCACUAUUCUCAAAUUGCAGAGAGGAGGAGGAAGAGGAGCAUGUCUCGUGUUGUUGGCACUGGUAAUGCUAUGUUAAUUUUAAUUUGUAACUAUUUAUAUUAUAAAAUAAUUAUUUUUACUAGUAUAUUUUUAAUUAUCUACUAAUUACUUCCGUUGUGAAAUAAUACCGUAUCUAUACUGCAUUAGUAUUCCUUAAAUUAACUGGAUGCCUUCUUUUCAUAUUUCAUGUUUCUUUUCAUAUUUCAUGUUUUGAUUUUGGUGGUUCUUUCUAUUUGUUUGGAUUUUAAAUAAUAGAAAAUUUUAUAUUUCAGUAUUUGUGAGAUAUAAUAUUUUAAAUAUAAUAUAAAAAAAUAAAAAAUAUAUUUAAUUCAAUAUUAUGUUUAUGACAUUUUCUUACGGAUAAUAAUUUUUUUUAAAAAAAAAAAUAAAGCGAAAUUAUUAGAGCAUUUAGAUACCUACCUCAUCACGGGACAUCAUCAUUUUCAUUUUAAAAAAAUUAUAAAAUUAUACUUUUUGGUUUUUUUUUUUAAUAAUUUGUAUUUAUAUCUUGUAUUGUGUAAAAUUUAUUUUUUAUAAAAGAUAUAUAUUUUCUAUUGAAUUGGAGGGGAAAAAAUUGUUACGUAUGAAAUUUAUAAUUAAUUUAAAAAGCCCAAGUUACAAAGGAAAAAUGGGCAUACAAUUUGAUCUAGGGAUAUUGCGAGAAAAUAAAGUGAAAUAGAUGUAUUUCUAAGGAAAUAGGCAGGUGGGAAGGUCCGCAGGUCGGAUGAUCCGUUGGUCGAAAAAUCCGCAGAUCGGAAGGUCCGCAGGUCGGGUGGUCCAUAAGACGGAAAGUUUGCGGGUCAGACAAUGUGCAAGUCGGAAGGUUUGCAAUUGGACCAACAAGUCGGAUGGUCUGUAAGUCGGGAGGUUUGCUGCUGGACCAACAAGUCGGGUGGUCUGCAAGUCGAGAGGUUUACGGCUGGACCAACAAAUCGGGUGGUCUGCAAGUCGAGAGGUUUACAGCUGGACCAACAAAUCGGGUGGUCUGCAAGUCGAGAGGUUUACGGCUGGACCAAUAAAGUGGAAGGUCUGCGGUCGGUUCAGGAAGUCGGAAGAUUCGUGGGUGGAUAGGCAAACUGGUUGGUGCGGAGGUCGGAUACUGUUGAGAGCGAGUGAGAGUAAUAGUUUGGUCGGCUGGUCACGUGUCAGCCGAAGAAGAGUUAGCAGAAGAAGAGUUAGCAGAUGGUUGAAAAAACGGCGUUGUAAUCGUUCGGGCGACGGUUUCCAGUACCAUUUCUGAAGAGUAUUUAACGAUCGGGACUUGCAACUGACAGGGGAUCUUCAAUCAUCUUCAAACGACAGCAAAGUCAGUGAUUCGGGGAUCAUCAUUUAAAUUUCCAGUAUUUUACUUGUACAAUAUUUAAAGAUAGAUUCUUAAUCUCAUGGGCUAAAUAUAUCAAAUUCGAAUAUUUUUGUUG